ensembl:snRNA
ACCAUCCUUUUCUUGGGGUUGCGCUACUGUCCAGUGAACGAGAAGGGAGGACAGUACUGCUGACGCCUGAACACCACACUCGCAUCAGUGAGAGCUCUGCUUUAUCUUGGUGCAGGUUUUGGAAAA